AUCCAGCUGACGAGUCCCAAAUAGGAGGGAACGCGAGUCCUCCAU
rnacentral:hammerhead_ribozyme from 1 species